GAACACAUAAUUUAAUUUGGGAAAAUAUCACACUUACAAGGUGAAGUUGCAGGUUCGAAUCCUGCUGUGUUCA
rnacentral:tRNA from 1 species